UACGUAGGGUGCGAGCGUUGUCCGGAAUUAUUGGGCGUAAAGGGCUCGUAGGCGGUCUGUCGCGUCGGUAGUGAAAACUCAGGGCUUAACCCUGAGCCUGCUUCCGAUACGGGCAGACUAGAGGUAUGCAGGGGAGAAUGGAAUUCCUGGUGUAGCGGUGAAAUGCGCAGAUAUCAGGAGGAACGCCAGUGGCGAAGGCGGUUCUCUGGGCAUUACCUGACGCUGAGGAGCGAAAGUGUGGGGAGCGAACAGG
rnacentral:rRNA from 1 species